UGGGGAAUAUUGGGCAAUGGGGGAAACCCUGACCCAGCAACGCCGCGUGAGUGAAGAAGGCCUUCGGGUUGUAAAGCUCUGUCAUUAGGGAAGAAGAAGUGACGGUACCUAAUGAGGAAGCCCCGGCUAACUACGUGCCAGCAGCCGCGGUAAUACGUAGGGGGCGAGCGUUGUCCGGAAUUACUGGGCGUAAAGGGUGCGUAGGCGGCGUGUUAAGUUGGAUGUGAAAUACCCGGGCUUAACCUGGGGGGUGCAUUCGAUACUGGCAGGCUAGAGUGCAGGCGAAGGAGGCGGAAUUCCUAGUGUAGCGGUGAAAUGCGUAGCUAUUAGGAGGAACACCAGUGGCGAAGGCGGCUUUCUGAACUGUAACUGACGCUGAUGCACGGAAGCGUGGGGAGCAAACAGG
rnacentral:rRNA from 2 species